UUUAUGGAGAGUUUGAUCCUGGCUCAGGAUGAACGCUGGCGGCGUGCCUAAUACAUGCAAGUCGAGCGAACAGACAAGGAGCUUGCUCCUUUGACGUUAGCGGCGGACGGGUGAGUAACACGUGGGUAACCUACCUAUAAGACUGGGAUAACUUCGGGAAACCGGAGCUAAUACCGGAUAAUAUUUCGAACCGCAUGGUUCGAUAGUGAAAGAUGGUUUUGCUAUCACUUAUAGAUGGACCCGCGCCGUAUUAGCUAGUUGGUAAGGUAACGGCUUACCAAGGCGACGAUACGUAGCCGACCUGAGAGGGUGAUCGGCCACACUGGAACUGAGACACGGUCCAGACUCCUACGGGAGGCAGCAGUAGGGAAUCUUCCGCAAUGGGCGAAAGCCUGACGGAGCAACGCCGCGUGAGUGAUGAAGGUCUUCGGAUCGUAAAACUCUGUUAUUAGGGAAGAACAUACAUGUAAGUAACUAUGCACGUCUUGACGGUACCUAAUCAGAAAGCCACGGCUAACUACGUGCCAGCAGCCGCGGUAAUACGUAGGUGGCAAGCGUUAUCCGGAAUUAUUGGGCGUAAAGCGCGCGUAGGCGGUUUUUUAAGUCUGAUGUGAAAGCCCACGGCUCAACCGUGGAGGGUCAUUGGAAACUGGAAAACUUGAGUGCAGAAGAGGAAAGUGGAAUUCCAUGUGUAGCGGUGAAAUGCGCAGAGAUAUGGAGGAACACCAGUGGCGAAGGCGACUUUCUGGUCUGUAACUGACGCUGAUGUGCGAAAGCGUGGGGAUCAAACAGGAUUAGAUACCCUGGUAGUCCACGCCGUAAACGAUGAGUGCUAAGUGUUAGGGGGUUUCCGCCCCUUAGUGCUGCAGCUAACGCAUUAAGCACUCCGCCUGGGGAGUACGACCGCAAGGUUGAAACUCAAAGGAAUUGACGGGGACCCGCACAAGCGGUGGAGCAUGUGGUUUAAUUCGAAGCAACGCGAAGAACCUUACCAAAUCUUGACAUCCUUUGACAACUCUAGAGAUAGAGCCUUCCCCUUCGGGGGACAAAGUGACAGGUGGUGCAUGGUUGUCGUCAGCUCGUGUCGUGAGAUGUUGGGUUAAGUCCCGCAACGAGCGCAACCCUUAAGCUUAGUUGCCAUCAUUAAGUUGGGCACUCUAAGUUGACUGCCGGUGACAAACCGGAGGAAGGUGGGGAUGACGUCAAAUCAUCAUGCCCCUUAUGAUUUGGGCUACACACGUGCUACAAUGGACAAUACAAAGGGCAGCGAAACCGCGAGGUCAAGCAAAUCCCAUAAAGUUGUUCUCAGUUCGGAUUGUAGUCUGCAACUCGACUACAUGAAGCUGGAAUCGCUAGUAAUCGUAGAUCAGCAUGCUACGGUGAAUACGUUCCCGGGUCUUGUACACACCGCCCGUCACACCACGAGAGUUUGUAACACCCGAAGCCGGUGGAGUAACCAUUUGGAGCUAGCCGUCGAAGGUGGGACAAAUGAUUGGGGUGAAGUCGUAACAAGGUAGCCGUAUCGGAAGGUGCGGCUGGAUCACCUCCUUU
rnacentral:rRNA from 1 species